rnacentral:lncRNA from 1 species
GCCACUCGUUGGGCACCCUAAUCAAUGAGGAUAGGUUUCGAUGUGGGGUAUUUGCUAUAUGGUAUGGUCAAAGUCAAUUUCUAAUUAUUUGUGUANGCCCUAAUCAAUGAGGAUAGGUUUCGAUGUGGGGUAUUUGCUAUAUGGUAUGGUACAAAGUCAGUUUCUAAUUAUUCGUGUGGGGAAUGAACGCAAACCGCUUCAAGGCAACGGGCUAUCUCCCAACUUUCACUUUAGGAAUGCCUUUAAGGCUAGCUCUCUCCUUUGGUACUCAAUUGGGUAUAUUCCGUAGUGAGAUAAGGAAUUCAAUCGUAUAUGGUAUUGUACAAAUACAGUAUGGCAGGAUUGACUAGCGGGAUGGUUUCAAAAGAAGGAUUUCUUGCGGUAUCGGUACUCAAUAGGGAACUUAAGGGAUAGGAAUGUACUUUGAGUUCUCAAUUCUAUUGCAUUAGAAAGUGGGGAAUUCAAUCGGUAUGGUCGAAGGCAAUCAACUGCCUGACUUCUGUAGAUUCGUAGUGAGAUUGACUGAAUUCAGUUUGACUGAGAGUGAGCAAAAGCAUCUUGUCAAUUGAAACUGCGAUUAGUAAAUUGAUUUCCAGAAUCUAGUUGGACUUAGAGUCCGAUGCCUAUCUUGUAAGUCUUUACAGAAUGGACUUUGACUUUUGAAAGUGUGGAAUUUGGCAGGAUUGAAGGUAUUAGGUAAAAAUCCACUUUCUUGAAUGAAGUGGACUGGGAAGGGAAUGCGAAUAGGAUAGGUUUGCGAAAGACCGAGGUCUUGACUUCUGCCUGUGCCUCUCGCUUUCAUUCACAGGUUAGCCGAAGUCAUUUGAAGGUCUGCUUGCACAUCAAUAGCUUGCUCGAAGUUAUAGUGAACAAGCUCCUCAUACUCCCCGGGAUUAUUUUGGGGAGGAAGGUUGUAGUAAUCACGGCUCUGGAGACUCUAUAUGCGAGCAUAAAUCUCAGCUUCGUUAUCGGCCGCUAUUUCGGCUCUAAACGUAGCCAAUGAUUCACUGCUCGAGGAAGACUCCAAAGCCGGAAGACUACUUUCAUUUCCACUUU